rnacentral:misc_RNA from 1 species
CCUUCCGUAGGUGAACCUGCGGAAGGAUCAUUAUUGAUUUUAUUAUUAUUUGUGGUCUUUUAACGGAUAUUCGCUGCUUAGCGGUAGCAUAAACUAUUAUCAUUACUAUUUAAAAAUUAAAAUUAAAAAUCAAAACUUUUAACAACGGAUCUCUUGGUUCUCGCAUCGAUGAAGAACGUAGCGAAUUACGAUAUGUUUUGUGAAUUGCAGAAGUGAAUCAUCAAUUUUUGAACGCACAUUGCACCUUAUGGUAUUCCGUAAGGUAUAUCUGUUUGAGCGUUGUUUCUUUCUUGAGAUUACAUUUUGUUUUCUUUAAAAGAAUGAUUCAAAUGAGUUUGAAUAAACAAUUCUAUAACUCAACCUCAGAUCAGAUAGGAUUACCCGCUGAACUUAAGCAUAUCAAUAA